GUCCAGAGCACAGACCAGACUUCACAUUUGAAGAAGUAUGAUGUGGUCAAACCUCAGCUGGUUCAUGAGCGCUGGAGGAGGCAUGCAGACCCCUCACACACACCUGCACAGGAUAGACAUGCUGAUAGCAUUACAUACUCGGUCAGGAUUGACGGUCAUGAACGUGUACUGCAUCUGACAAAGAACACACAUUUUUUAC